rnacentral:rRNA from 1 species
UGGGGAAUCUUCCGCAAUGGGCGAAAGCCUGACGGAGCAACGCCGCGUGAGUGAAGACGGCCUUCGGGUUGUAAAGCUCUGUUAUAUGGGACGAACGGGCGUAUGGUCAAUACCCAUACGCCGUGACGGUACCGUAAGAGAAAGCCACGGCUAACUACGUGCCAGCAGCCGCGGUAAUACGUAGGUGGCAAGCGUUGUCCGGAAUCAUUGGGCGUAAAGGGCGCGCAGGCGGUUCGGUAAGUCGGUCUUAAAAGUGCGGGGCUUAACCCCGUGAUGGGAUUGAAACUGCCGGACUGGAGUGUCGGAGAGGAAAGCAGAAUUCCUAGUGUAGCGGUGAAAUGCGUAGAUAUUAGGAGGAAUACCAGUGGCGAAAGCGGCUUUCUGGACGACAACUGACGCUGAGGCGCGAAAGCCAGGGGAGCAAACGGGAUUAGAUACCCCGGUAGUCCUGGCCGUAAACGAUGGAUACUAGGUGUAGGAGGUAUCGACCCCUUCUGUGCCGGAGUUAACGCAAUAAGUAUCCCGCCUGGGGAGUACGGCCGCAAGGUUGAAACUCUAAAGUGAAUUGAC